GAGUUUUCCUUCCAGUGCCUGUUACAUCUGGUAGUAUUUAGUGACCAUGACUAGCUGGCUUUGCUUGUGCCACUUGAUACUGCAGGUUUUAUUCUACAUCUCAGUCAAUUAUUUAAGUGCUUGCUUAAAGGGGGGGUGAAAUGCUAUUUCAUGCAUACUAAGUUUUUUACACUGUUAAAGAGUUGGAUUCCCAUGCUAAACAUGGACAAAGUUUCAAAAAUUAAGUUGUACAUUUGAAGGAGAAUUUUUGUUCCCAAUAUACUACUUCCGGUUUGUCACAAGUUUCGGAAAGUUUUUUUCGAGUAUGGCUCUGUGUGACGGUAGAUGGAGCGGAAUUUCCUUAUAUGGGUCCUGACGCACUUCUGCCAGAAGAGCGCGCGCUCCCGUAUAGCGAGGCUGAGCAGAACAGACAGUUCACUGAUCAGAGCGAUUCACUGAUCAGAUCGAGAGCGUAGCGAAAAGUCACAAAAAAAGUGUGUUUUUGGUUGCCAGGGCAAGACAACCCUGCACAGAUUACCAAAAAAAAAAAAAAAAACAGCAUUAAGGGACCAGUGGAUGGAGUUUAUUUUUACAGAGCAUCAAUGGAGUUGUGCAAGUGUUUUUGUUUGUUCCCUGCAUUUCGAAGAUGCUUGUUCACAAGGCCCAGUUUGACGACGGAUUUGCGUAUCGUUUAUUUCUUAAGGAUGAUGCAAUCCCAAGGAAAAAGGGUCACGAUCGUGUGUUGGAACCGCAGGCGGUGAGUAAAACUGCUUCAAAUAUCUCUGCCUCCUUGUUAGUGCGUCCCCUCCCAUGCCAGAGACCCCGGUUCGAGCCCCGCUCUGAGCGAGUCGUUGCUGCUGCUGCUUUCGUUCAGUUUCAGCCUCUGGAUCUGAUUCUGGAUCAUAAAUAAACGGCUGAAUCUGACUGUAAGCCAUGGUUUGUUUUGGAGGAUGGGUUUUCCCUCACGGUAAUGUCACAGCUUCCACAUGCUCUCAACGCAAAAGCCUAUUCGCGCUCGUGAUUCUUAAGCUCCGCCCACACGUCACGCCUCCAGUCGGUCGUGUUUUUCCGGGAAAAAUCGGUACAGACUAUAUUUCUCUUAUGAAUAUAAUAAAACUAAAGACUUUUUGGAUUUAUGAAGGAUGCAGUACUACUCUAUAUGUACUCAAGAUUAACAGGAUAUUGAGUGAAAACGAGCAUUUCACCCCCCCUUUAAAUAUUAUAUUUUUCUUACAAUCCAAAAGAACUGUGGCAAAUGUCUCCAAAAUGCUUUAAGAAACCUGCAAGCUGCAGUACUUUGUCUCAGUUUCUUCUGUUUCUUCAUGUAAUCUUAGACAGACUGGAUAAUGAUCAGAUCAGAUCUCUGUGUGGAGCUCUGGCUGCUGUAAGACUCCUCGUGUAAAUAAAAAUCUCACUGGAUUAUUACAAUUAACAGCAAAAAUAACGUUUGGAAAUGUAAACCUAUAUUUAUUACUGGCACACUGCAGCAAAAGAUAUAAUAAACUUAAAACCAGUUUUGUUGGUGUAGAUACUAGUGGUUUAAGACUUUUGCACUGUACUAUAUAUGUAUUUAAAGUUGUGAUUUUUGUAUUCAUUCAGAGGGUUUUCUCACUGAUUACCUGCAGAAAAUUUGACUGGCAACCAAAAUAUUUUUUAGGGAGAAAUACUGAGCAGAGGUUGUUUUGUGGAGUUGCUUUUGCAUCACCUUCAUUAUUGUCAACAUACAAUGUUCACGUUCAUAAUGGCAUUCAAUGUGAAGUUUUACACACUAGCAAAUAAUACAGUAGGUCUACAAACAGAAUGAAAUCCAGAUGAUGCGGACAGGUCAAAUAAAAUUUAUAGGGUCUACAGUUGACAAGACAAGUAGUUUUAGAUAUCUACAAAAAAUUUUUAUUCUUAGACGGUUUCACCGGGCGCACGCGCCUGGACCCAAGUUAACUUCCGGUCUGUGUUGUGUAUAUCGGUCUGGCUGCAGUGCCUUCUACAAAUGCAGUUAAAGAAGUCAAUGUGAUGAGUAGACUGAAGUUGGGCUCAGGUGGUUGUGCUGUGGGAUGUGUUUCCCAUACAUUUAUUUAUUUUUGGAGACUCGCCACAAUUUUAAAACUGAUCGAUUUUCAAAAAGGCUUCAUUGAAUAAACAUGAGUAACGUUACAUACUGCACGUUUAAUAAUAAUAAUUCCUUACAUUUAUAUGUUUAAACACAAAACGAGGCACAGGUGUUUUUAUAUCGCUGUAUUUCUGAAGGAUGACUUGCAUGUUAUAUGCCUAUGCCGCGUGUGAGCGUACCAGCUCUGCUUUAUUUACACUGUUACUGGAGAAACGUCUCCGGUUACUAUCGUAACCUCGGUUCCCUGAGAGGCGGGAACGAGACAUUACGUCAGCUAAGACGUAUAUGGGAACUCUUCCCUUCUCCACUUUCACUGAAAUCUUAUUGGCUAACGCCAGCUGGGUACAGCUGGCCAAUUGAUGCAAAGCAUGCAAAUACUGACGGGUCAGCGAGCAGUAUAAAAUGCAUGGGCGCGAAAAUUACGUCUGAAUCACGACUGAACGCUAGUCUUCUAUUUAUUUCUAUUUAAUGGUGCUCGCGUCUCAGUAAGUGUGUUCAGCACUCGAGAGUGCAGAACGUCCCGCUUGUUAGGGUCCCCGCAGCGGCCACACAUGAAGGUUCCACAGUUUGGGGCUGGGGUGCUAUAUUGUGUCAAUCGCCUGAGACAGCAGGUCCUGUCUGAGGGGGAUUCGCCAUGGGGGAGCCAUCACUAACUCUCUCAGGUCCGCGAACCAGGGCUGAAUCGGCCAGUUCAGGGCCACAAGUAAAACUGCCGCUCUCUCCUCCCUGAUUUUGCACAACACAGGCAGAAUCUUCAACGGAGGGAACGUGUAAGCCUGGCUUCCGGCCAACGCGAUGUCAGAGCAUCUCCCGGCAGGGGGGAGUGAGAUAGCGAGAAGAACGUCUUACAGUGUGUGUUCUCGCUCGUGACAAACAAAUCCACUUCCUCCCUCCCAAAUCAUUACAUCUGAUCCUGGUUGAAGCCUCCAUCUUCUUGAGGAAUCCCGUUCCUCGAAAGCAUGCUCACUCCAUGGUUCAAAGUGCGACGCUCUUAUGGAAAUUAAGUGUCGGUCUGCCCACAACAGGAGACUCGCUGCCUGUCUGAACAGAGCUCUGGAGCGCACGCCGCCCUGGCGAUUUAUGUUCGAGACCACAGACGUGUUGUCAGUUAGAAUCAGUACAUGUUGCCGCUCCAAUUUCGACCGAAAGGCGUGCAGGGAUAAGGACAUGUACCGCUUCCAAUUCCAAACGGUUUAUGUGCCACCUUCUCUGUGACUCCAACCACACUCCAACCACGCUCUGCUCCCCAGCCUGAAGUAGAUGCGUUCGUAGAGAAAAGAACUCCUGAGCUGAACAUAUCCGGGCUGUUCCUCGGUCUCAGAGUGCUGACGCAACUGUGAAUGACCGUAUGUACUUGUGGACCGAAGACCACGACCUCGGCGGAACUUGAGUUACAGCCAAAAAUGUAGCGGCCGCAAUGUAGCAGACCCAGAUGGCACACUGAAGAAGCCGCCGCCAUCAAUCCCAGAAGCCUCUGAAAUUCCCUCAGUGAAAACGACCUGCCCGGUCUGAAACAGCGCAGAGUCGAUGAAAUGCUCUAGAGAGAGAUGGGCUCGUAUGGUGUUGGCACUCUCGCUCCCUCGCGAGGCCAUUAUAAUCAUAGGUUGUGGCUCUGCACUGUUCUGAGACAGUGACACAGUGUUGAGUGUAAGAGGAAGUAAAGCUCUUUUCUUUAUUGUAUACAUGCUUUUAUUGUGGAACUCACACAAACAGCAUUUAAACACACAUAGCAAUCGUCGCCCGAAGGAAAUGGGGGACAUGAUGCAUUUGAACAUGGCGCUUGGGGGCGGGGCCUCCCGGGCACUCACUCUUUCACCGUCAGGGAGGCGGCUCGAUGGCGCGCUGGCUCUCUCGCGGCGUGGGGUCCUCAACUGACCCUGACGUUUCCUCUCAGGCUCUUACCACUGCUUGUUUCGGUCGAAACGAGCGUCCGGUUCAGAGCGGGGUGCCACGGCGGGCUAUUUAGCUGGUCUUAGAGCCUGACGAGGUGCGUAAGAGCAAAACCUCGCAGAUGAAGGCUGGAGUGAGCGACGGGUCAUCACGCGGCUCAUCGCCUUGGCGCGCUUUCCGCGUCUCUGAGAAAAGCUCCAUGAAGUCACCAAAGAGGCCGGAGGGAGCAACUGGAACGUUUAGGAGCGUCCUACGGUCCGCGUCUUCCAGGACAGCUAGGGUAAGCCAUAGGUGCCUGUAAGGAUGACCAUGAGCCCCAUGAAAUGGCGGAGUAGAGCGCUAGUAGCCAUCAGCGCGAGAUCAGUUGCCGUGCCCAGAUCCCUGAUGACGUCAGCGCUACUGUGCUGCCGUCUGCCUGAAACACCUUGAGUAGCCCUGGCAUGAAGAGCAGAAGCUGCCUUCCCUCAGAAGUAUAGGCUUUGUCCGUCUAAGGGCCGUAAACUGCACGGCUUGGAAGGCAGGCUGUGGUCCGAACCAAAUGCAGAGGGAGACGGGCACAGGUGUGCGGUAACAGUCUCCUCGACGGGGGGGAUUUGUGUUUUCAUGGCCUGCGUAGCAGAGUGGGUGCGCGCCAAUUGGGGUGCAGCCCACGACUUCACCAAGAGCUCUUGCAUGCCUCAAUGCCGUCUGGUAGCAGCUCGACUGGAGGAGCCACGAAUCCAGUUACCUUUCACAGGCUCGUCAGGUGUGUUGUAAGUGAGACCCAGCUCCGUGACGGCCUUUCUGAAGACCCUGAUGAGCUCCUCCUGGAGGUCUGCAGGGCCCUCUUGGUCUGGGAGGUCUUUUUCCCCAACCUUUUCUGACGUCGAAAGCAACAUGGAGUCGUUUUCCUCGCCAGCUCCGAAGAGGACGAAGUUCGCAGGGCAGAAGCUAUUGUCCACCACGCCGACGUAAAACACGUCUUCGGGCGGGGCCUCUUUCCCACUGUUUUCCGUGCCACUCUGGCUCUGAGGGCGCGCACUGGCAGCUCGGAACAGUGGGCGCACGUGUGGUCCGUGUGAGAAUCCCAGGCAGGUCACACAGAACUGGUGAAGGUCAGAAUUUAGCAUUAGCAGCCAUCGGAUGCGGAGAGGGAAAACAGGGUGAGUAGUCCUCUAUUGCAACUUCCACGAUGACUUAGAUAAGACUUCUAGCGUGAAGAAAGAGAUUCUGAUGGAAUUUUUGCGCCCAUGCAUUUUAUACUGCUCGCUGACCCCUCAGUAUUUGCAUGCGACGCGUCAAUUGGCCAGCUGUCCCCAGCUGGCGUUAGCCAAUAAGAUUUCAGUGAAAGUGGAGAAGGGAAGAGUUCCCAUAUACGUCUUAGCUGACGUAAUGUUGAGCUACCGCCUCUCAGGGAACCUCUAUUUCUCGCGCUUUAUGUCUAUGCUUUAAAACAUCUCCUACUGGCAAAGAAUGAAUUUGCAUUUUCAUUAAGUCCGCCUGAUCCACACAGAAAACAUAUUUUGUUUGUUAUCAAAAAACAUCUACUCUAGAGGGACUUGGCUGUUGUUAUUGAUUCUAUUUGGAAGUCUACCGGAAGUUAAGUUAGGUCCACAAAAGCGGGCAUGCACAGUAACGUUUGUUUAUGUUGUUGCCGUUGAAACCAUCUAUACUGGGUGCAAUGUAUAUUAGUUACAGUAUGUAAGCUUCAUCAUAAUUUUAUAAUGUUCUGUAAUUACAGAUUUUGGAGAGCACCUGCUGGUGGCUUCCCCAAACAGCAAAGAUAGAGAUUUUCUCACAACCCCUGAUAUGAAUAUGCGCUCAAUGAUAUUGUGAUUUUGGCUGUAAUAUAAAGUACAGAUUCCACCGCAAUAUCAUUCCAUUCAAAAAAAUGAGUUGGUGUUUUACAGAUCAUUAAAAUACCUGGAAAACAAAAGGCUCUUUGUGUGGUUGUUUGUUACUCUUGUAGUUUAACACUAUAGUGUUUUACACAAAUGAUUUUGUCAUUCUAAAAAGGAUCAUAGAAAGUUUGUAAAGUUUUUGAGAAAACCCCAAAUAGUAGGAACAAUGGAUCCAUACAUGUUUAAAGAGCCAGAUAAGAUGAAAAUUCUAAGCUUCCUAUCACUUUUUAUAAGUCCUGUACAUUAGGUUUAAAUCCAUCCAAGGUUAAAAAAACAUUGCCAUUUAGUCAAAAUAUCAUUUUAAAAUUACCUCAAUUCUCAGAGAUCCCCAAACGGUUCGCGCGAAGCUGUUCAAAAGAUUCAGUUUCCUUAAACCCCACCUUUCGGUAGCAUACUGUGUUCUGAUUGGUCAACUAACAUAGUCAGUUUUGAUUCGUUGUUCCGCACACAACUUCAUGGUAAAUAAUGCGUUAGCAUCUUUUUGAGGUGAAUUCCUCUCAUCGCGAAGCAAACAGUAAAACAAAAAACAGUCUCGCUGCUUUUUCUUGUUUCUUGUGUGGGCCUAUUCAAGCCGCACGCUUCAGUUUGAAUCUGAAUAGCGCGUUCAGCGCGGGGGCGCGGUCACAUUAGAUAUAAUGAAGGGAGAUGUGAAAAACGGACAUCGCAUUGUUUUCAUAUGGAUUACUUUAUCACAGAAUAUCUGUUAGCAGCACUUGUUACACUUCAUUUUAAUGAUGUGUUUGUAAAUGAAGAUCAGCACAGAGAAAGGCUGCAGACAGCACACAUACUGAUAAGACGCUAGGGAGAAAACAAACACAUAACUUGAUAAUCAUACUUCGCGUUGUGAUUCGGAGAUGCUUGUUGGUCUAAAUAAAGUUGGUAAUGAACCCUCUUUUAUGGCCAAACGCUUUGAAAAUCCCGCCUUGUACUCACCGCGAUUAGAAAAGCAGUCAUCAGUGAAAUGUUGUGAACACAACAAAAGGGAUUUGUUGUACUGCUCUGUUAUUGUGGUAAAAAUGAAUUUUAGCCAUUGGUUCUUCUGAUUUUCAUUCUUUGGCAGUGAAAAUAAAACAAACUUGCCUUUACGAUUAAAAACACACUGUCUCCUCGACAUGAUGCUAUCACACCAACCAGAGUGUCUGUGUGGGGGGGUGGGGCAGGUCAGAGUUCCGUUUCUCCCAACACGGUAGGCGGAGAUUAUCAUGCAAAGUGUUCCUAGUGACGUACAUAGAUAUGGGCAAAAGAUCUGAAAUCUAUAACGACUCGUUUCAGCGAUUCAGAGUCGACUCCUUACUUUAGAAGACAAUAACUUUAUAAAUCGUGUACUUUUUGGUUUAAUUACUUUGCACAUUGUUUACACUGAUGGACAGCUACAUAAUACACUGUAAUACAGGUAAUUUUUGAUUUCCCAUCUGUGUGGCUCUUUAAUGAUCCUUUAUUAUCAGUCAAAAAAUGUUUUCAUUAUUUUUCUUUUGUAAAGAAAAAAAAAAAGGCAGUUCAUAGUUGUACAAAGGACAUUUUGAUAUCUUUAAAGUACAGCUGGCUCUGGCUCUGCCCCGAUAUGGCAUUUAACUAGAAAAAGGGAUGAAUAAAUAAAGUGCUGUGUGAGCAUGUUCAUCUCUGACUUCCCCUCUGGUGUGUGUGGUCGAGGUUUCAUCUAAAGCUCAGUGAUGUUUCCGCUCACAGUAAGAGAUAUUGAAUGAUCACAGUUACAGAAGAUAUUCAUCUGGAUCACACGAUGAAGAUCAUCCAGCUUCAGAUCUGUCUGUUCAUGUGGUCUCAAGUCACAGAGAGUUUAACAAACACAGCAGUAACUUUAGGAGCUGAUGUGAUUAUAAGCUGUGAUCUUGAUAUAGAGGAGAUUUACUGGUUCAGACAGAAAUCACCGGAUCCUCCAGAGUUGAUCUUACGCACUUUCAGUAGCAUAGAAGGAGCAGCUCAAUAUGAAAACAUAAUAUUCAAACUCAUAUACUCAGUGAAAACUAACAGUAGUCUGUUCAUCAGAAAUAUCACCGCUGAUGAAUUAGGAGUUUAUUAUUGUGUGAAAACUAGUGAACCACAAAAAUUCAGCAACGGCACCAAAAUCAACAUCAGCGGAGACACCAUGGAGAAUCCUGACCAUCACUUCUCUCCUGCUGAAUGUGCUUCUGAUCACGGCAUUGAUAGGUUUGGGAAAGAAAUAUCUUCAGGCAAGAAGAUUUAAAAAUAAUUCAGAGAACCCCCAAAGUACCACAGUAGCUCAGUACUCUACCGAUUCAAUGUAUGCUACGGUUGAUUUCUCCACGCACCCCCGAGAAAACAGGUCUUGCCCGGAGCAGGCCAUCUACUCUCUUCUCCAACCAGUAAAAAUUAUGAAGUAACAUGCAAUAUAAAUAUAAUGUAAAUAUACAGAUAUAUAUUAAAGUUCAUUUAACAUUUGUGUACUUACAUUUGUGGGGUCUCAUAGAUUGACAUGUAUUCUACAAUGUUUAAAAUGGUAAACGUGUGUGUGUGUAUGUCUAAUAUAUAUAUAUAUAUAUAUAUAUAUAUAUAUAUAUAUAUAUAUAUAUAUAUAUAUAUAUAAUUUUUGACUGCUGUUGUUUAAUAUUUAUAUGAAGUUUUAUUGUUCAAAAAAACGCUAAAUGUAGUGGACACUGGGGAUAUUUGUCACAAGAGGAAGUGUUCACCAGAGUAUCUCAGUUAUGAAGUUAAAAGGUGUUUUUUUUUGACGUGUGGUUUAACUGUGAAGCUGAGUUGUGCUGUGAAAACAAGAGUAUUUUAUAUGUUGGUGUUUUUAUUUUUUUUUAUUUAUUUUUUUUUAUGUCUAAUGUAUGUUUGCUACUAUAUGAAUUGUUUUGUUUUUAAAUAAGCAGAUAUAAUUCUGUGAUAUAUAUAUAUAUAUAUAUAUAUAUAUAUAUAUAUAUAUAUAUAUAUAUAUAUAUAUAUAUAUAUAUAUAUAUAUAUAUAUAUAUAUAUAUAUAUAUAAUGCUCUUGUCUGUUGAAAUGUCCCAGUUUUGAAUGGAGAUCUUGCUUUCACAGCUCUUGCUUUAGCAGUGAGUUGCAUGUAAACCACAGGGUUUUGAGGUUUCUUGGAGCUGAAGCAGCUUCUUAAGAAGUUUCAUGAAACUUCACACAAUGAAUAAUCCUUAAUCUUGAACCAUCAGCAUUUCUAAAGAUAACGCUGAUAAUUACAAGUCAGUUUUCUGCUAAUAUUUUGUUUCAUAAAAUGUAAUGCACAGCUGGAAAUCACAGGUGUACAGUAUGUACUAAAAAUAUUUUGUAAUGUUGAUCGGUUUAUAAUAUUUUUGUAAAUGUUAAAAAGUCUCUUCUGCACAGUGUUUUUCAUUUUUUCACUCGACUGUCAGCUCUGAGUUUAGUUCUACUCAUAGAUUACUUUUGUUUACUUUUAUACUUUUUUAAAUUUCACAUUUUACAUUUCUGAAGAUUAUUUAUAUAUAUAUAUAUGUAUGUCAUUGGUUGGGUUUUGAACAAAUAUAUAUGUGGUCAGAGCAAACCUCCUGUAACUUCCUCUUGUGGGGAAGUUUGAAAGUCAUGCCGAAGUAUUUUAACAAGUUCAUGCAGCUUCUUCUCGGAGUACUUCAUAAAUAUAUAUAAAAAUUGUAUUUGAUGUGCUUUUGUUAAUGAAUACAUUUAUGAAGUUUUAUGAUGCAAUUAUAAUGCAAUUUGCUUUGUGUGUGUUUUAUUUCAUAGAUGUGCUCACAUGGUGUUGAGCUGCUGAGAUUUUAACAGAUUUGGGCAUAUUUGAUUUCUGCCUGAUGAUUUAUUUAUUUAUUUAUUUAUUUUUCAGACAGAUGUCUGUAUAGCCGGGCUGAAAUCCAAACAACACAAUCCCAAAAUAUAGAUCUUUGGUUUUGUUUAAUACUGUAGAUGAUUCAAUUGAAAUCAGGGCAAACUUUCUUCAGUUAGCCUCCAACUAUAUAAUAGGUUCUCUGGUUAAGCUACAUCUGCACAGCUUUGCGCACCUGUGGCUAACACCUCUAUAAAUAUGUUUACCUCAUGUAAAGCCUUUAUACUUAAGAAAAAUGUUCCACUGGUCUUGCUUGUGUUGCAAGCAAUGGACCACAAAGUCUUUUCGAGACCUUGGACCACAAAACCUUUUCGAGACAGUGUAAAGAUUUUCCAUUUGAUGUUAUUAUAAAUCCCUUUCUUAUAGUUUUUUUUUUUUUUUUUUAAUCUCAAUAGUUGUUAAAUUGUUUUAAAAAAAAAUUGUGCAUUGAGCAAAAAUAAGAUUUAUGUUUAGCAUAUUUACUGUAUAUUGUGCUUUUUGUGUGUUUAUAUUGUAUAUUGUGUGUAUUGUAUUUUUAGAGUGUUUGCUCAUCUGCAGUACGUCUAAAUCAGUAUCAGAUGUCAAGUAGAUGUUUAGAAGAUGUCUUUAAGAUGUUUGAGAUUAAGAAUGAAUGUAGAACUGACAUCUUAUCUUAGAGGUGUCUAUCAGAUGUUUGGACAGAUGAAGAUGAAGGGAUCUUUAUAAGACAUUUUGCACACGUACCCGUGCUAUCUGGGUUAUGGGUUGUAUUGGUUCUUUGUAUGAAAAUUACUGCAGCAUGCGGCGUGGCAUGGAGUCAAUCAGUCUGUGGCACUGCUCAGGUGUUAUGAGAGGCCAGGUUGCUCUGAUAGUGGCCUUCAGCUCUUCUGCAUUCUUGGGUCUGGCAUAUUGCAUCUUCCUCUUCACAAUACCCCAUAGAUUUUGUAUGGGGUUAAGGUCAGGCGAGUUUGCUGGCCAAUUAAGAACAGGGAUACCAUGGUCCUUAAACCAGGUACUGGUAGCUUGGGCACUGUGUGCAGGUGCCAAGUCCUGAAGGAAAAUGAAAUCUGCAUCUCCAUAAAGUUGGGCAGCAGCAGGAAGCAUGAAGUGCUCUAAAACUUACUGGUAUACGGCUGUGUUGACCUUUGACCUCAGAAAACACAGUGGACCAACACCAACAGAUGACAUGGCACCCCAAACCAUCACUGACUGGAAACUUUACACUGGACCUCAAGCAACGUGGAUCGUGUGCCUCUCCUCUCUUCCUCCAGACUCUAGGACCCUGAUAUCCAAAGGAAAUGCAAAACUGACUUUCAUCAGAGAACAUAACUUUGGAUCACUCAGCAGCAGUCCAGUCCUUUUUGAAGCGAGACGCUUCUGACGCUGUCUGCUGUUCGAGGGUGGCUUGACACAGGAAUGCGAAGCUGAAACCCAUGUCUUGCAUACGUCUGUGUGUAGUGGUUCUUGAAGCACUGACUCCAGCUGCAGUCCACUCUUUGUGAAUCUCCCCCACAUUUUUGAAUGGGUUUUGUUUCACAAUGCUCUCCAGGGUACGGUUAUCCCUAUUGUUUGUACACUUUUUUUUCUACCACAUCUUUUCCUUCCCUUUGCCUCUCUAUUAAUGCAUUUAUCAAUGGAUAGGGUGUCAAAUGGUUGAUUUGUAAUUAGAAAUUAGAACUAGACUGAGAGACCAUUUAAAGGCUUUGCUUUUUGAGUUAAGAAGCUGAUUAGAGCUUGGCACCAGGUGUCUUCACUAUUGAACCUUUUCACAAUAUUCAAAUUUUCUGAGAUACUGAAUUUGCGAUUGUCCUUAGUUGUCAGUUAUAAUCAUCAAAAUGAAAAUAAAUAAACAUUUGAAAUA